UACGUAGGGGCCUAGCGUUGUCCGGAUUUAUUGGGCGUAAAGAGCUCGUAGGCGGUUUGGUGAGUCGGGUGUGAAAUCUCCACGCUCAACGUGGAGGAGCCACCCGAUACUGCCAUGACUAGAGUCCGGUAGGGGAGUGUGGAAUUCCCGGUGUAGCGGUGAAAUGCGCAGAUAUGCGGAGGAACACCGAUGGCGAAGGCAAUCCCCUGGGCCUGCACUGACGCUCAUGCACGAAAGCGUGGGGAGCAAACAGG
rnacentral:rRNA from 1 species